AUUGAACGCUGGCGGCAGGCUUAAUACAUGCAAGUAGAGCGAGCGGCGGACGGGAGAGGAAUGUCUGGGAAACGGCCUGCUGGAGGGGGAUAACUACUGGAAAGGGUAGCUAAUACCGCAUAACACCAGAUGUGCCCAGAGGGGAUUAGCUAGUAGGGAGGGUAAUGGCUCACCUAGGCGACGAUCCCUAGCUGGUCUGAGAGGAUGACCAGCCACACUGUAACUGUGACACGGUCCAGACUCCUACGGGAGUGAGCAGUGGGGAAUAUUGCACAAUGGGCGCAAGCCUGAUGCAGCCAUGCCGCGUGUGUGAAGAAGGCCUUCGGGUUGUAAAGCUCUUUCAGCGAGGAGGCGUUACUCGCAGAAGAAGCACCGGCUAACUCCGUGCCAGCAGACGCGGUAAUAC
rnacentral:rRNA from 1 species